CUUUAUACAAUUUCUAAUUCAAGAAAAUAUAUUCAUUUCGCACAUCAUUCAUCCUUCAUCACACGUAUAGCAAAUAAUAUUAACGUCAUUAACCUGCAAAAAGUUUGUGUUUCCAAGACUGAGCUCGACAGCUAAACAAAUUUAACAGUCUAUCAUGUUUCACAUAGCACACAACUUUAUAUACACCACAUGCAACAUACUUUCUUUGAUAUGCAUAUCCUACAUGCAUCAAUAAUUCAGUGCAAGGCAUAUAUUCAUGCCUUAUACAUUCCCAAUUAUCGCGUUACAUCAUACAACAUGUGUUAUCACAUAUCACAUAUAAAUUGAGUUCCAUACCCAAUUAACUUAGUCAUAUUUUGACUUUAACAAUUCAUAGAGCAUGAUAUGUAAUUUAGCACAUAACCACAUCCAAUCCACAAACAUAACAGAACUGAAAAACUUGCCUUGAAUGGAGAUUACCGCUAAAAUUUAACUUAGAGUUUCUCCACAAUUCCUACAGAAUUAUAUUUACAUACACACAUAUUAAAUAAUUAAAUAUGUUACAAAACAUACCUGUAUAUUCAUCAUUAAUAAUUACUAGUUUAUAAAAACCAUUAUUAUUUACUCUUACUCCAAAACCAAUAUUGGUUUAAUGAGACUCAAUUCAUUUUAAUCUUUCAAUGCCAAAUAAGGCAUUUCACACUUUUAAUGUGUAAAUAUUUUACAUCUAAAGCUUAAAUCAUUUAUAUUCCACUUUAGGAAUAUUGUAUGCUCUUACUUGCUAAUUCGGGACUUAAACAACUAAUAUAUAGCUUUUAUAGUAAAACUCAAUUUACUAUAUUAUUAUUUCUUUAAUAUAAAUAUUUCUUAUAUUAUUUUGUCCACUCAAGAGUCAACUCGGACCAUUGUCUCAUUUAUAAUCAUUCUAUCCCGCUAACACACUUACUGCAUUUUUCAUUUUGUAAAUAUUCACAAUUUCACUAUAUAUAUAUUUAUAUAUUAAAUAUGUAUAAAUCUCGUCUCAAAAACUCUAUUUUGAUCCCCGCAAAUCUUCAUUACAUCACUUUUAUGCUUAUUACAACUUUUUAAUGGUUCCAUACUUUUCGUUUUGUUAUAAAACCAUUUUUAUGUCAAUUCCGGCUUACAUUCGCUUAAAUAUGCAAAUUCAUAUUUAUAUAUUAUUUUUAUUGCAUUAUUUAUGCCCGAAAGGAAGUUUCAUGACAUAAAUUAGAUCUAAUAUUGUCUAAAAUUUAGCCCAAACACACUUUGGAACGACGAAUGUCAAAACAGCCCACCAUGACUACAUUCGGCGUAGCCCAAAUUGUAGUUCUGACAUGCCUGUUUGCCUAUUUUUAAUUCUCAACGCAUAAGUCAUAUAACAACGAAUUUUUGGUAUGUUAUAGACAUCAUGGCAUAGUAUUUUUAAAAAAAAUCUAACCACGCAAACAAAUCAAGGAAAAUACUCAAAACAGACCCUACAAAUCAUGCCGCGUAAUAGCACUGAAGCGCCAGCAGCAGCAGGCAUCGGCGAACGCUGCUAAGUGUUGCUGCCCAGCUGCUUGACAUACUCUGCUGCAGCACUUAACGACCUAGCCGCUUUCCAAUUUUCUUACACUUUGCUCGCUUAUCGGAUCGUUCUCAAAUUUUAAUAUAUUUUUCGUAUCAUAUGAGACUAUUUUUGAAAAAUAUUAAACACCCAUUUCGGGUUUGAUAGGAAGCCAAAACAUUGCAGCAAAAGUGGACAUUCAUAACAAUUUUUAAUUUCGUUUCAGCUUUACCCUAUCUCGCUAAAACAGUCAUAACUUCUUCGUUUCAAAAUAUUUUUGAGCGAUUCUUGAGCCCACGCGAAUCUAACUUUCGGGAGUACAACUUUUAUUCUUUAACCAUUUUCAAAUUAUUUGAACAAAAUUCCAUAAAAUCCGUGCAAUGGGACUGCUCCAAAUUUGUUGGACAGAUUUGACGCAACUACUUUGCAAUGUCAUAACUCCUUACUCCAAAGUCGGAAUUAGUCCGUUCCAGAGUCUAUGGAAAGCUUAUUCAAUGUGCUAUAAUAUCUCAAAAGCCCAGAAUUUUCUGGAAAUAUAUACUAGAGCCGAAAUUUGCCUCAAUGUCAGCAGUCAUACUAGUUUUUCACUUUUCGUUUUGAUUUCAAAUUGCUUUUUGAUUUAACUUAGUAUGCUCAAUCUCUUUAAUUAUCUUCAUAUAUGAUAUACAUAUCUAACCCAAGCUUUGAUUUCGCUUAAAACUUGGUUUUUAAGCAAAACAGUUCAUAGUGGACUUGUAACGAACAUUUCAUAUGCGUUGUUUUGAAACACCAUUUCAAUAGUCAUUUGUUUGUGUUAUUAACCCAUUCAAGCCUCCUUAUAUCACCACACAACCAAGCCUAUCCCCUUGUUCCUAAUUCAGGCCUAACAAUCUCCUACACAAUCGAAUCGAUAUAUAGUCAACUAGUUACCAAACUAGUUAGUUUACACAUUCUUUUGAAAUUCAAUCUUUUUAAUUUCAACACAAAAUGAAAUAUUUUAAUCUCCUCUGCAUUAAAUGAACAUAACUAUAAUCAAUUAAUAGUAUUCAAAUACCAUACAUAACUUAACCAAUUCUUACUGCUAACAGAUUUAUUUAACACCAUGGAUGCAUAGUUUCAAAUUCCAGACUUCAUAAGCUUUUAGGCAUAGUCUAGCCAAAGAUUUUCCAUGAAAAUCCUCCCUUAUUACUUCAGAACUUAUACAAUAUUAUUACCCAACCAAUUCCACAACCAAACAUCACAAUUAUAGCGAUAAAUUGCAUUCUAUACUUUCAAUUUCUAUGAACUCCAUAAAACACAUGGCUUACCUCUCAAUUUGAAGUUUAAUUGAUGUAAUCCUUUGAAUUCUUGCUCCAAAUUCGUUCUUAAUUCCUUCUUGUAACAAUCCAUUGCUUCAAUUUCUUAAGAAUUUGGUGAUAAUUUGAGUACCAACCUUUAGAUUUCCCCUAGAUUUCAUUCCUUUACCCCUAGAUUUCAUUAUUUUACUCCAACCUUUAGAGAGAGGAAACGAAUGGAGAUGGGGAGAUAUGCUGAGUAUUGAAGUUUUUUUUUAAACUUCAUUAGCUUCUCUUCAUUAUCAGGUAAGUAAGUAGUGUCCCACGAUAACUUAGCAUAUGCCACCUCCUACUUAUUAGACCGUAAUGACUCAGCACAUAAGCAGUAACAUUUUAAUUGAAAUACUUUUUUUUGUACAACGAAUCACUUAAUUGAAAUAAUUAAUAUUUUAUUUAUUAAUUAUUCUAAAUCACUCAUUUAACUUAUACAGCUAAUUGUAUAAAGUUAAAUCUAAUUAUCUCAUUUCUUCCAUAAUUUGUUUCAAGACAAUUAUUUACACGUAGCAAAC
rnacentral:lncRNA from 1 species